rnacentral:tRNA from 1 species
GCGCUUGUAGCUCAGUGGAUAGAGCACCGGUUUCCGGAGCCGGGUUUGCGGAGGUUCGACUCCUCUCAGGCGCG